AGUAAAAUAAUAUAAAUAAAGUAUAGUUCGUUUACACUGAACAUGUUGGCAAAAAAGCUGUUUUACUU
rnacentral:tRNA from 1 species